UGUUACUAAAACGGAUGAACAAGAAGGAGAAGGAGCCGCAUUAGUAUGAAAUACUGGGAGGAGGAGCAAGAAGAGCUGAAAGGCAAAACAUUAUUAAAUAUGUAAUCUGAUGUGUUCAGGUUUAACCUCAGCUGAAAACAGCAGCAGACUUUUAGGACAAACUAGCUAACCUCCCUAACUCUCAGCAGAAACAUGUCUGCUGUAACUGCGUCACUCUGCUCCGCUUUGGUGUUUGUCGUGUUCGUCUCUGCAGUGUGUGUGAAGGAGACACGAGGCUGGGUGGACACUUAACAUCUGUAAUGCAGCUGUGACAGAGACAAAGAAGUGGAAUGUGUGUGUCAGUAAGUAAAUCUGGAAAUGAUUACAGCUGAGUCUGGACAGGACGUCACUCUGCCAUGUCGAGCUCCAAACAAAAAGAUCAUACUUUUAAGAUGGAGCAGAGCUGACUUGGAGCCAAAAUAUGUCCUUUCAUACUGGAAUGGUCACUUUGAUCCAGAUCUCCAGCAUCCAUCUUUUAAGAACCGGGUGGAUCUGCAGGACAGACAGAUGAAGGAUGGAGACGUGUCUUUGAUUCUGAAGGAUGUGACGAUUAAUGACGCUGGAAUAUACAGGUGUCGUCUCUUCAUGGCAGAAACAGACUCAUGGCAGCUCAUCAGCAUCAUCAGCCUGAGUGUUGUUGUUCCUCCAGUUGCAGACAGAUGGCCAUGGGCAGGAAUGAUUUCUUGUGUCCUUUAGUGGUGCAUCAUGGGUAAUCUCAGUCUCUCACUGAACGAGCUCCUGUGACUGACCAACAUGUCAUGGAGUGGGUGGG